UCUGUUCAAGAAGAAGUGACCUCGAGUCUCUAGCCCACAAGAGGUCAGCAUCGAAAAACUAAUUGAGAAUGCCUCAAAAGCCCGAGUCCAUGUUAAAGAACGACAAGGCCUUACUAUUGGCAGUGGGGUUAAUCAUGGCCCAAUUUUGAUUAAGAUAACCCAAGAGAAUAACACUUCAAUCCUUCUUGUUGGCUGUGGUCAUGGGGGUAUCAAGAAGACACAUCCACCUUUAUAGUUUGACCGUGGUAAAGGGAUCCUCUCAACCAUGGAUGUGAGGGUCAUAUCCGAAAAUCACUUAUAGUUCGUGGAUGGAGAUGCUUCAACAAUUAGUGGGAAGAAGGAAGAGGCUGCCCCUCAAGCACAAGAAGCUAUGAUUACGGGUGUUGAGUAAGGACUACAAGGAAGCUCCCCUAGAGCAAUUGGAUAAGAAUGAGACACCAUGCCCAACCAUGCAUAUGGGAUAGUGUCUCCAUAUUUGUUUAGGUUACCACCCACUUGAAAUCUCGCAAGCUUAAGGUCAUGUAGGAGGGAUUUGGGUUCUUUGUGAAAAAUCUUGCAUUCGCAAAACUCUUACGAUUGAUAGACACCCCCAAGCAAUCACGUUUUCUCUCCAAAGAAACACCAAGGUUUGGACUUGUACUGUAAUAUACGCUUCCCCUAUUCCGACCUCUUGUCAUGGCCUUUGGAGUCACUUGGCCCAGAUUAGGGGUAGAAGUAUUAACCCUUGGCUUUUUGUGGGUGACAUGAAUGACAUCUUACUCCUAUCAGAAGUUAAAAGAGGGCCCUUGCGGAUAGCAAUUGGAGAACUUCUUUCUCUAAAGCUUUUGUGGAAGGCCUUCCUCAUUUGCACUCAUAUCACUCCUCGUUACUUAUUUGUUGUGUAAGGAUAUAAGUCAAUAAGAAGAAUAAAUUGUUUAGAUUUCAGGCAGCAUGGACGCUUCAUGAGGAAUAUUCUAAGCUUGUUUAGGACACCUAGAGGGAGUUUAGUGGUGAUGUGAAUCAAAAGCUUGUCAAGGUAAAAGAGGAGUCCAUCCUUUUUAACUCUAAUGUGUUUGGUAAUAUUUUUUUUUGCAAGAAAUGGAGGUUGGAGAACCGUUGAAAGGUGUUCAAGACGAGCUAAAUUCAGCCCAAUCUUAUGACAUGAUUGUUGAGAUUAGGGGAGAUUGAGAUUGUUGAGAUCACCUCUGGAGAUUAAAGGUUUUGAUGAUAACAAAUGUGUGGAACAAAGCUGACCAAGGACAUCAACAACUUAGGAGUCAAAAACAAAGUCAAAGAAAAAUGUUAUGUAAUAGGAGUAGCUU